CACUUCUUAAUUUCUUACCAUUAUGGUAGUAAUGCUGCUGUCAUGACCCACCACAGAUGAAGCGGAGAGCCUGCGACCCAGAAGACUUCUUAAUGAAAUUUCUACUGAAGCAGAAGACAGGACUUGCAAUGCAAUUACAAUAUGAAUGAACUGAUCUACAUAUGUGGCAGUGUCAAGUGGUCCACUUUUCAUGAAGUUUGCCACUUUAAAUUGUAGCUGAGGUUCACAUAUUUGAAUGCUCCUCCAUGGAAGAAAAAGGCUUCUUGCAAAUGAGCCUUUACACUUAGGUGAGGGACUCAGGAAAGGGCUCAGGAGAAGUAUGCAGCAGCAGCAGCAGCAGCAGUGGCAGUUGAUACCUGAUGGGAAGUUGAAGAUCCAACCCAGGGGCUGAUAUCACUAGGGCAAAGAGCUGAAGGAGGUCUGCUAAGAAGAGAACAAGGCUCUGUGGCGGUCUUCAACAAAGAGCUACUGCCAAAUAACAGCUGGUUGUUGUGAACCUGAGGUGACAGAUGUUGCUGGACUAGGUUGAAGACCAUCACUGCAAUCCUGAGAGAAGGCUGAAGGACUCCAGAGUGAAGGAACUGAAGACCAAGUUGAAGACUACAUGUAAAAUCCUUGGGUAUAUUGAGUUUUGUGUUAACAGGCAAAGGAGAAUGGUAGGUUAAUUGGCAAUGGUUUGCUUAGAAGGUGAAACUGUAACUGCACAUAGCCACCUUCUUAAAGAGACAGUAACCCUUGUUUAUGCAGUGCUUUUUAAUGGGACACUAAGUGAAAUCACAAGCUUUAUAAGCAAUCCCUUAAACAUUA